ACCACUCUUGGAAAUGGAAUCUUCAGCUUCAAAGGCUUGAUUUGUCCUUGCAAACUGAAGUACAAUCAAAAACAGUAUAGCAAGUAUCUCUCAAGGUGUGCAGAGGUCAUGUAAACUGAAGGUCUGAACUAGCUUGGGGUUCAAAUAGAAGGAAGCAAAUCCAGAUCUGCUGUCAGUUCAGAGUGGGUCUGGUUUCCAGAGAAACACAACGCUCACACAUGCAUGCAGAUGGACAUUUCUUAAAGGACAAAUCCAACAUCCUUUCAUACACUUUGACAGAAAAAAAUUCUGCAACUGAAUCCAGUCUGCCGCCUUCUCUUCCUGUCUGGAUUACCUGGCAAACUGAUAGCUAAAAGCAGCCAAUGUCAACAUGUGCAUGGGGGUGUCGGAGCACUAGUGAUGCAGUACCUUGCGUCUGUCUCCCUCGGAUUUAGUUCUUGACAACAUGGCCAGAGUUUGCUUGCUCUCUUCUCAGGAAAAUAUUCACAGUCAGUCGGGCCCAGACCAUAUAAGGUUUUUCAAUUUCUGUCACCACUUCCAUUAACACUUUGGGAUGGCACCUGGACUGGGUGCCUUGUCAGUUGGAAGGAUCUCUGACCUUUUAAAUAAGCAUUUUGACUGUUAUCUGCACUGAAGAUAUGCUGAACAGUUUGUGGGAUGCAAGGAGUAACACCGAGAAUCGGGGACCACAUCUGCACCAGUAUCUCAGG